UACGGAGGGUGCAAGCGUUGUCCGGAUUUAUUGGGUUUAAAGGGUGCGUAGGCGGCCUUGUAAGUCAGUGGUGAAAGCCCAUAGCUCAACUAUGGAACUGCCAUUGAUACUGCAAGGCUUGAGUACAGACGAGGUUGGCGGAAUGGAUGGUGUAGCGGUGAAAUGCAUAGAUACCAUCCAGAACUCCGAUUGCGUAGGCAGCUAACUAGGCUGUAACUGACGCUGAGGCACGAAAGCGUGGGGAGCAAACAGG
rnacentral:rRNA from 1 species